rnacentral:rRNA from 1 species
UGGGGAAUUGUUCGCAAUGGGCGCAAGCCUGACGACGCAACGCCGCGUGGAGGAUGAAGAUCUUCGGGUCGUAAACUCCUUUCGAUCGGGACGAAUUCCCCCGGGGUAAACAAUCCCGGGGGUUGACGGUACCGAGAGAAGAAGCCCCGGCUAACUCCGUGCCAGCAGCCGCGGUAAUACGGGGGGGGCAAGCGUUGUUCGGAAUUACUGGGCGUAAAGGGCUCGUAGGCGGCCAGCUAAGUCAGACGUGAAAUCCCUCGGCUCAACCGGGGAACUGCGUCUGAUACUGGAUGGCUUGAGUGUGGGAGAGGGAUGCGGAAUUCCAGGUGUAGCGGUGAAAUGCGUAGAUAUCUGGAGGAACACCGGUGGCGAAGGCGGCAUCCUGGACCACGACUGACGCUGAGGAGCGAAAGCCAGGGGAGCAAACGGGAUUAGAUACCCCCGUAGUCC